ncrna:unclassified sequences raiA RNA
UGCAUCCGGGUCUGUGGUUGCAAGCCGAUGCCAGACGCGGGCAAAGCGGUCCACGUAAGCCGGACAAAGUUCCGGUGAGCAUGGCGCGUUCUAGGUGUAAGACCGACCGCCGCCCAGGCGGCGAGAGAAGGCGAGUAGGGCGCUGAAGCGAUGAGCAGACCUUCCCGUCGGCGAGUGUGGGGGCAAAGACCAGGUCAGCCGGAUGCA